UACGGGGGGAGCAAGCGUUGUUCGGAUUUAUUGGGCGUAAAGAGCUCGUAGGCGGCUCGUUGCGUCGGCUGUGAAAACCCGCAGCUCAACUGUGGGCUUGCAGCUGAUACGGGCGGGCUGGAGUUCGGUAGGGGAGACUGGAAUUCCUGGUGUAGCGGUGAAAUGCGCAGAUAUCAGGAGGAACACCGGUGGCGAAGGCGGGUCUCUGGGCCGAUACUGACGCUGAGGAGCGAAAGCGUGGGGAGCGAACAGG
rnacentral:rRNA from 1 species